ACACUGAACAACAAACCAUCAGACACAUAGUCACUGUAGGUUGCUCUGUUCUUACUGACUUCACCACUUCUUGUCUUCAAAGAUGAAGAUGUUCAGCGUUGCAGUGGCCGUCAUGAUCGUCCUCAUUUGCUCUGAGAGGAGUUCUGCUGUCCCCGUGGAUCAAGUGCCUGCAGCCAGUGAUGAUCUGAUUCCUGUAAAUCAAGAGAUUCCUGCUGAAUCAGAGGAGAUGUCAGUGGUUAACAGGAUGAAGCGUAGUUGUUGGAGUUGCUGUUUUGAAACUUCUCAAGGCACAGUCUGCUCAAAAUGCUGCCACUUCUGAUCCCUGUCUCUCUGGAUGGAUGGGAAUUCCUCUAUGCAGAAGUGUGACAGUCCACUGAGAUGCUACGGCUGCCGUACAUAUUCUAGAGAUGUAACCACGUGUAUUACUGUAUGUCCUGUGAUUUAUAGCAUAAAAUUAAGUUUUCUGAUAUGA